CUGCACAACUUUCUUUUACCGCAACACCGGCAACAUCUACGAACAAGAUAAAAACAACUUAGUGAGACAUUUUACAAGCCUUACUAUAAGGCAUAAUAAAGGCUCAUACAUACUUAGAACAAGUUAUAAAGCAUACAUUAAGUAACAUACUACCAAAACUUAAAAUCCAUGUAAAGAGAUAUUGAUCCAAAGACCAAAAUAGUCGAAUACUCACAAAUGAGAAGAAUAAAAGAAAAAUACAUAUUUUCCACUUUCUUCCGUCAGUGAAGUGAACUCCACACAUAGAUUGUCAUGUGAGAAAACUGAUGUGUGUUUGGUAGGACACAGAAAAACCUACAGAGGAGGAUAUGGAGACUCACGAGUGAUGUUGUGACAGAUCACUAGUGACGCUGAAGAAAAUGACCUUAUUUUCAUUGACCACUAAGGGGCGGUCCAUGUGGUCCACCCUACAUUAAACUUACUGAAAAUAUAGGUAACUACAGCACAGCUAUUUCAAAUAUGAGAACUCUUGUGAUUAAUUGAUCAAAUAAACUUGUUGACUUUUCAAAGAGUUACUUUAUACUAUACACACACAAAUAAACACAACCAAAACUAGAUACGCAGUAGCUUAACAGCAACAUCACCCUAACAUCUGCUAGGCAGGACACUAGAGAUACGGGCCAUAAACUUAUAUUUCUCCCUUAAGGUGACCUGACCUCAACCCCCCUCCAUCAGUUAUCCACGGCUCUCUCCCUUCAUCAAUACCUGACACAUGUAUUUCACUUCCCUGCACUCAACACAUUCCAAGCUCAGUUGCACAGUCUAUAUACCUUCCUCCUAUAACCAUUAACUUCUGGUGUAGACCCUCUAAACCUCAGCACUCCAUCACUGACAUGAAUAAGUAUAUUUUCAUAUUCUCAGAAUCCAACACAACACACUCGUUGACAUGAUCAACUGAGUUCAGUUACUGAUGUAUUGUGUUUAUUUGAAUUUGGAUAAUUUGAUGGAUAGUUUCUUGUUUGAGAUUAAUUCACCCCACGUCUUUUAUAGUUUUGUAAUGGAGGUGACUAAUGCUUCUCCAAAUGAGGAAGUGGCAGAUACCUUGAUCCAUGUCUGUUUAGUUAACAUAAUACAUAUUUCCAGUCAGAGUAACCAGUCUGUGCCAACUAAGUCAUGGCUUGGAUUGCAUCCAUAGAUCACAUUACUUUUAUGGAUUUUUGUCAAACUUCGUUUUUUAGAUGCAAAUCUAAGCAUUGAAGAAAUGCAAAACAGGAAUAAAAAUAUAUUUUAGUUGUUUUUUAUUUCAUCACCAAUAAAUUGUUUCAUGUUUUUUGGUAAAUCACAGGAGGAAAGGUAAUGGAUUGUUCCUCAAAUAAUUAAGAUUUCUGUGAUAGUACUGGAUAACAUUGACAUCAACUCCUUGUAGGACGCACCAGUUUCUUUUAAAAGGUUGGACAUUUUUUUAAUGUGAAUCUUGCAAUAUAUACAGAAAUUAUACAAUUGACAUGUUAUUUAUUUAAAUUGUAGUAUGAUAGAUCUUGUUCUCAUCCAUCUGGGUUUGAGGGCUAGGGACAGUGUUAGAGGACCAGUUGCAGCACAAUGGCUUAUUGUAGCACAUCUCAGCUUAGAUCAUGACCACAAAUCCAUUACUGUGUCUUUCCACACCUCUUCAUGUUCUCUGACAAGUCAUUUCUGUUGAUGGAUAUAGACAUGAGCUUCAUACAGUAUGAAGAUGUGAAUAGCAAGCCGUAUGCUGGGUUGUUUGCAGGGGUGAUGUUGGUGCUUCUCCUCAUCUCUAGAAAUAGAAGUGUACCUGUAUGAUCAGUACCCUCACUGUGGUCACAUCUACGUUACAAACAGACUCGACACACUCUGCUAAAUCUCAGGUACAACAGUGAACAUCAUGAGUCAUCGGACCGUUGAAUGUAAAUAUAAUAUAUAAACUCAUUACACAUGAAACACUUUGCAUAAUAUAAAAUACAUUAACAAGCAGUGGGGAGUAAAGAGCAUUGUUCUACACACACAUAUUGCAGCUUAGAUGGGUUUUGGUCAAGACAUGACAAUUCACCAGUACAUUCAAACAGAUAAUAUAGAA
ensembl:lncRNA